rnacentral:rRNA from 1 species
AUUGAACGCUGGCGGCAGGCUUAACACAUGCAAGUCGAGCGGGGGAAGGUAGCUUGCUACCGGACCUAGCGGCGGACGGGUGAGUAAUGCUUAGGAAUCUGCCUAUUAGUGGGGGACAACAUCUCGAAAGGGAUGCUAAUACCGCAUACGUCCUACGGGAGAAAGCAGGGGAUCUUCGGACCUUGCGCUAAUAGAUGAGCCUAAGUCGGGUUAGCUAGUUGGUGGGGUAAAGGCCUACCAAGGCGACGAUCUGUAGCGGGUCUGAGAGGAUGAUCCGCCACACUGGGACUGAGACACGGCCCAGACUCCUACGGGAGGCAGCAGUGGGGAAUAUUGGACAAUGGGGGGAACCCUGAUCCAGCCAUGCCGCGUGUGUGAAGAAGGCCUUAUGGUUGUAAAGCACUUUAAGCGAGGAGGAGGCUACUCUGGUUAAUACCUAGGGAUAGUGGACGUUACUCGCAGAAUAAGCACCGGCUAACUCUGUGCCAGCCGCCGCGGUAAUAC